rnacentral:rRNA from 1 species
ACGCACGCUGGCGGCCUGCCUUACCCAUGCCAGUCGCACGAGACCUUCGGGUCUAGUGGCGCACGGGUGCGUAACGCGUGGGAACCUGCCCUUAGGUUCGGAAUAACUCCCCGAAAGGGGUGCUAAUACCGGAUAAUGUCUUCGGACCAAAGAUUUAUCGCCUUUGGAUGGGCCCGCGUUGGAUUAGCUAGUUGGUAGGGUAAAAGCCUACCAAGGCGACGAUCCAUAGCUGGUCUGAGAGGAUGAUCAGCCACACUGGGACUGAGACACGGCCCAGACUCCUACGGGAGGCAGCUGUGGGGAAUAUUGGACAAUGGGCGAAAGCCUGAUCCAGCAAUGCCGCGUGAGUGAUGAAGGCCUUAGGGUUGUAAAGCUCUUUUACCCGGGAUGAUAAUGACAGUACCGGGAGAAUAAGCUCCGGCUAACUCCGUG